CUCUUCCAUUCUUCUCUGUAAAGUCUAAAGUUUACUUUUUGAUUGUUCUGUUUAUGGUUCUUAUUGCGAAUUCUUUGGGUGCCUUUCAAUUCUUUGUAAGUGACUCUGAAAAGAAAUGUAGGAAUGUUAAGAACAGAACUAAUUCGGAGUGAGAUUGCAAUUUUAUUAAUUGAUUAUUUUUCUCUGUUUGAAUCGUUAUUAAGGGCAAUUUAUGAAUCUCCAUUACUUCCAUUUGAAAAGAGUAAGGCUAUAUUCAGUAGCGAGUUGUAUUUUUUCCUUCCUUAUUGAAUAGUUGUUGAGACUUGAGAAAUUAAUAACGGAAAGAAAUGAAUGAAUUCCGUGUUUAUGAUCUAAUGAUGGUAAUAGUAUUAAUAAGAAGUAAGAAUUAAUAGCGUUAGAGUGCUAAAGCAAAUGCAAAAGAGAGAAAUAGUUGCUAAUUUAUUAAAUAAUCUUUGGACAUUUGGGUCAUAAUCAUAUGACCAAUUAGCUUCUAAGUAGGUCAUACUUUGCUUCCCAAUUAACAGUUUCUUUGUUACGUGCUGCUAUGUUCAUAUGUCAUGCUAGUCACUACGAAUAUGACUGUACAAAUUGGCUUUGAUGUGUCUGAGUGACCUGCAGUGUAUGAUGCUACAUUGUUUUUUUCGGAUUGUAGUGGAUUGGUCUUUAUAAUACUGGUUUCUGGUCUGGUUGUUGCUUUGUGUACAAUGAUGCAUAAAUUUUGAAUCAUCUUACAACACUUAAUGGCUUUUUACUUCAUUUUGGUAGUAUUAAUGUGCUGAAGUUAUCAGUCUUUAUUGGUAGUGGAUUGGUCUAUGUUAUACUGGUUUCUGGUCUGGACUGUCUGGUUGGUGCUUUUAUGCAAUGAUGCUUAAAUUUUUUAUCAUCUAAUUAGCACACUGAAUGGAGUUGUACUUUAAUGACAGUGUUUAAGUGAUUACUUUUGCUGGUGAUUUUGAUAAAUUAUCCUUAGGAAAGCGGGCAUUCACUUUUCCAUAUAAUUUCACCAGAAACAGGUAGCCGUUUUGUUUGUUUGAUGUUAUUAUGCUAUAUCUUUUAUUAACACCACCAAAUCAUUUAAAUGAAUCUUUAUAUUUGCAAGAUGAAAGUUUUGUGUGUCACCCAGUAAAAUAUAAGGAAGAAUUUGGGGCAAACAAUCAAUUGGUUUUCAUUAUUAAAAAUGCAACAGGUAAAACAAAACAAUAAAUUGCACAAUGAUCAGUUGUUGGACUCAUAGAGGAUGUGGAUUAAUAGAACAAAUUUGAAACUGGAGCAGUUACUUGCAAAGCAACACCAAUUCUUUACUGAAUAAGAUUCAUUCUGUUUGAGAAAAUGCUGCAUAAGCAUGCACAGAGCAGAGUAUGAGAAGAUUUUGUUCAUUGAUGUGCGAGCUUCCUUAGUCAAUUAACUUUUUUUUGCACAGACAGCACAGCAAUCCAAAGUUGCAUUUACCAUUUAUAAAUAUUUGAGGAAGAGAAGUUAUCUUGUUAUGAGUUCACAUUUGGUAUGAGAGAAGACUGAAAAGUCAAUAACUCCAUUAUCAAUUGCAUUGGACUGCUGCUAUUAGCUUGUUACUUAUAGUCCUUAGUUUUCUGCUUUUGGGGUAUGAUGGCCCUUGUCCAAAUAGGCACCAGGCAUGAUGAGUAUCGGUUAUUUGAGAAGCACCGAUGCUUCAAGGGCAUGUGAUUCUGUGUAUUUUGUUGGUAUAAGUUGAGAGAUGAGGGGAAACAUUAAUUUAUCUAAUAGUGUUAUAUAGCUUGUUGCUCUUGACUUUGAAUUAAUUAUAGGAGACAACUGAUAACAUGUCUGUUAUGGAAAGUCAAUCACUAUAUUAUUUCUCUGUAUAUGUUGUAUUCUAUAUUCCUAUUUAGGAUUUUUUAUUUAGAAUUUCUUCCUAAUUAGUAGAACACAAUUAUAGGAAUCAAUUGUAUAUAUAUACCCAUGUACAGAUUAAUUGAAAUCAAGGAGAAUUAUCUCUUUCUACAUGAUAUCAGAGCAGGUCAUCUAUCUAGGAUGACUAUUUGUUCUUACCAUCCAACUCAGAAGAGACCUUUGCCGCCGACCGGCGGUCCCCUCUGAUCCGGUCGCCGGAAUCCAAGCGCGUGAGGCUCACACGCGCAACUCAGGUUCUCGCCGUUUCUUCAUUCGCCGGCUUGUGGAGGCGCGUUCGCCAACCGUUUCGACUCCGAUCAGCAUUGCUAGCGUCGUCUCAACCUCCUUAUUCCACCACUGUGUGCUGUUUGCCUGAUCCAGUUUCGGUUAGUUUUUUUUGUCUCAACAAAUGGCAGACAAUAAGAAUGUUAUUUCUGAUGUGAUUCCGGUGAUGACUAAGAUCAUGGAACACAAACUUAAUGGUUCGAAUUACCUGGAGUGGAGUAAGACUGUUAGGGUCUAUUUGCGUAGCAUUGAUAAGGAUGAUCACCUUACUAAAGACCCACCUACUGAUGAUACACGGCAAACUUGGCUAAGAGAGGAUGCUCGGUUGUUUUUGCAGUUUCGGAACUCGAUUCAUAGUGAGGUAAUUAGUUUAAUUAAUCAUUGUGAAUUUGUUAAGGAAUUGAUGAAUUACUUAGAUUUUCUGUAUUCUGGUAAAUGGAAUAUCUCCCGUAUUUUAUGAUGUUUGUAAGGCAUUCUACCGUGUUGAGAAGAGGAUAAGUCUCUCACGGCUUAUUUUAUGGAUUUUAAACGGGUAUAUGAGGAACUUAAUAUAUUGUUGCCUUUUAGUUCUGAUGUGAAAGUUCAGCAGGCCCAACGGGAGCAACUGGCUGUUAUGAGUUUUCUUGCAGGCCUUCCUACAGAGUAUAAGACUGCUAAAUCUCAGAUUCUCUUCAGUUCUGAGAUUUUCUCUUUGCAUGAAACGUUUACACAGGUCCUUUGUACAAAGAGUACUAUAUCUUCACAGCCUGCCAGUAGUGUUCUUAUUAGCCGUAAUCUAAAUGGACAACAGGGUAAUAGAAGAGGAAGUAGAGGAGGAAUUAUAAGCAACAGAGAUAAUCAGCGUAAUGGGGAGGCUAGUUCUAAUUAGGACUCAAGAUGAGCCGUUUGUUAUUAUUGCCAUGAGUCUGGCCAUACAAAAUAUAAUUGUCCGCAACUUCAGAGAAAAAAAUCAGCGAUCACAGAUGGCAAAUAUGGCAGCAGAGGAUUCUACAGUAUCUUCAUCUGAGAAAACUGUUUUGGUAUUUGCAGAGGAUUUUGCACAAUUUUUCCAGUAUCAGGCAUCUCUAAAUUCCACCAGUUUCCCUGUCACUGCGAUCGCUGAGUCAGGAUCUUACGACGAAGCAAAUUAUUGGUAGAGGACGUGAGUCAGGUGGUCUCUACAUUCUGGAAAAUCAUGUACCGCAGUCGCUUGUUUGCUUCAGUACCUUAACGUCUCUUGAAGCUCAUUGUAGAUUGGGUCAUUCUUCUUUGUCUACCAUGAAGAAGUUGUGUCCUCAAUUUCAGUCUUUAUCAGUACUAGAAUGUGAGUCGUGUCAGUUUGCAAAAUAUCAUCGUUUGCUUUCUGUGUCUAGAGUCAAUAAACGGGUUUCAUCCCCUUUUGAGUUAGUUCAUUCUGAUGUUUGGAGUCCUUGUUCUGUUAAUUCUAAAACUGGAUUUCGUUAUUUUGUUACUUUUGUUGAUGAUUACUCUCGUAUUACCUGGUUAUAUUUAAUGAAGAAUCAUUCUGAGUUGUUUUCUA